UCACUUCUCAUCUGAUGAAACUCCCUCUAUUAAUUACCUUGCUAAGUCAGCAAUUUUGCUGAUGUAGCGUUCUAUCAUGAAACGCCCCCACCGAGACUGGCCCAACAGCUUGUAAUGCUUCCUAUAGGAGGGAAGCAUCCCCUCUCCUCUUUGUCCUUUCUGCGAUGUAUAUACUAGCUCAUGGCAGCUCCUGAUCCCCUCCUACCCACAGCUGCCAUCUUUUUUUUUUUUGAAGCGCACAGCUGCUAUCUUGUAAUUCUGUACUUCAUUGCUCCUCCAUUCCCUUUUUAGAAACAAAUUAGUUUUUCUCGACUAGAAUCGCU
rnacentral:lncRNA from 1 species